CCCCCUGUGUUCUCAUUCGUCUUCUUUUUUUUUUUCCUUAUAAUCUGUCAUUGUACCGUCCCGUUUUGCAUGUGGAUGGUACCGUUUUCGACGCGUGUUCCGUUUUGGACAUGUGUUCUGCUCUGAUGCUUUCAUAACUUACUCUAAUUCAAUCGGGAUGAGUACACCUCCUCAACUACUGCUUUAAUCCUCAUCUCCUCCGAUUUAAUCGACUGAAGCUUAGCGGGCCAAAAAAACCUUUCUGUUCCCAGCAUGGAACCAUUUACACGAUGCUUCGUAGGGUCUAGCUUCUUUGCGCAGCCAAGUUCCACAGCGAAUGGAAAUUAUCGGCUUUCUUCCGGUUGACCGGACCCAAAGUCGAAAUGAAAUAAAUUGAAGACAGACAUCGGCUCUUUAGACUAUAUCUUUUGCGACGACAUGGGAUAGCUUUUUGGUAUAUCGAUUUUGCUUACAGGUUUCAUCGGAGAUAGGAGGUCAGAUAUAGCUAGAUUUUUUAUUCUAUUGGUUUUAGCAUGCAAGGUGUUUGUUGAUAUGCCUCAAAGGGAUGAUAAUCGUACUUCAAAUCUUUUUAUUUUAUCGUUUACCCUUUUCAACGAUCUUUUGGUAGGCUGUUGCAGGUAUUGACUUACAUCAACUUCUAGCUUUUGGUAUUGGAGAAAUUUCCUUAAACUUUGUUGUGAAACAGGUAUGUGUUGCUAUUCUAUCCAACUCAACUCGCCUAGACGUUAAAAAUGAAAAGUAGACACCAUUUUUAUAAUUUCCUCUAUAAGCGAUCAAUACCUCAUAAUAUUUAUCAUUAGUUUUUCUUAUCAUAAAAUUUCUUCAACUAAUUUUUAGGCACUGAAUUUUUUUGGCCAUCUUGGCAUCUUUAAAAAAUAUAAAAAGAAUAAAAAACUUAAUUGUGUUUUUUUCUAAUUUCGGUUUCUAAAUAUAACAAAAACAUUUACACAGGUUUACCAAAUCUGACUUUUGAUUUAUUUGUCUAUUGGAAAAUGGGAAACGAGACCGGAAAGAUAGAAAAAGUGGUAGGUCACUAAUGUAGACAUUUGCACUAUGUGCAAUUUAUCUCUUAAUAAGAUCUCAAAACUGAGAAACAAAUACCGGUAGAAAAGGCACCAUUUUCAUUUGGGAUCACAAUUCAUCCAUAUUAAAAACAAAUAUUUAUAAAAAAUGGUCGAUUGCAAUUUUUAUUCAACUUCUGUUCCAUGUUUUUUCUGACCAAUUGAUAUGCAAUUUUUUUCAUUAAGAUCUGUCACUGUUGGUUUUUAUACAAUUUUUUCAUCAUCUGUUAUGACUUCUCCAUUUUUCGCAUCUUCAUUAUUAUAUGAGUUCAUAGUUCCAGUUUUGAGGUUGAUUGUUUUUUCAAUGAUAUGUUUCUUCACAUCUUGAAACACCGAUAUUCAAGACAACUUUAGAAAUGAUGAAAUCCAUCAUAUAUGGGUUUUAGCGGUUUUUUGACGAAAUUGACUCAAUUCAAUUCCGUCAAUUGAGCAACCAAACAGAUCAUUAAAUGGAAUCUCACAUUUGAAUAUCAUUGCAUUCCGCCAGAAUCGGUGAAUAAAACAGUAUCCUUACACCAUAUUUGUUGUGUAUCCCAGGAGAAUCUAACGGAAUUGGAAUCUAGGAUUCCAUUCCAUUUUGUUUUUGUCUACUAGAUUUAUCUAGAUUUUUGUUGAUACAUACGUGUUUUACCUCAUGGAUUCCAACAUAAUCCAAUGUAAUUGGAAUCCAACAUUCUAUUGCAUUAUAUGUUUGAUAGCCAAAAUGUAUACAAUUCAAUUUUCACA